GUCCUUUCACCCCUUUCCUUCCCACAGUGUCUCUCCUGCAUUCUUCCAAACUGCUAGGAGAGAGCUCUGCAUCGCUGCUACAUCCUACUUUCCAGCUACCCAAACUGCAUGGCAAGGGGAGCCCCAAAGCUGUACGGUUCUGCCUCUCUCU